AUUGAACGCUGGCGGCAGGCUUAACACAUGCAAGUCGAGCGAGCGGCGGACGGGUGAGUAAUGUCUGGGGAACUGCCCGAUGGAGGGGGAUAACUACUGGAAACGGUAGCUAAUACCGCAUACUAUCGGAUGUGCCCAGAUGGGAUUAGCUAGUAGGUGGGGUAAUGGCUCACCUAGGCGACGAUCCCUAGCUGGUCUGAGAGGAUGACCAGCCACACUGGGACUGAGACACGGUCCAGACUCCUACGGGAGGCAGCAGUGGGGAAUAUUGCACAAUGGGCGCAAGCCUGAUGCAGCCAUGCCGCGGGUAUGAAGAAGGCCUUAGGGUUGUAAAGUACUUUCAGCGAGGAGGCGUUACUCGCAGAAGAAGCACCGGCUAACUCCGUGCCAGCAGCCGCGGUAAUUC
rnacentral:rRNA from 1 species